rnacentral:rRNA from 1 species
AUGAGGAAAGCUUGCUUUCCUUGAUGACGACUGGCGCACGGGUGAGUAACGCGUAUCCAACCUUCCCAUAACUACGGGAUAACCCGUUGAAAGACGGCCUAAUACCGUAUGAUAUCGUUUGCUGACAUCAAAUAACGAUUAAAGGUUUAGCGGUUAUGGAUGGGGAUGCGUCUGAUUAGCUUGUUGGCGGGGUAACGGCCCACCAAGGCAACGAUCAGUAGGGGUUCUGAGAGGAAGGUCCCCCACAUUGGAACUGAGACACGGUCCAAACUCCUACGGGAGGCAGCAGUGAGGAAUAUUGGUCAAUGGGCGAGAGCCUGAACCAGCCAAGUAGCGUGCAGGAUGACGGCCCUAUGGGUUGUAAACUGCUUUUAUGUGGGGAUAAAGUGCGUGACGUGUCAUGCAUUGCAGGUACCACAUGAAUAAGGACCGGCUAAUUCCGUGCCAGCAGCCGCGGUAAUACGGAAGGUCCGGGCGUUAUCCGGAUUUAUUGGGUUUAAAGGGAGCGUAGGCUGUCUAUUAAGCGUGUUGUGAAAUAUACCGGCUCAACCGGUGGCUUGCAGCGCGAACUGGUCGACUUGAGUAUGCAGGAAGUAGGCGGAAUUCAUGGUGUAGCGGUGAAAUGCUUAGAUAUCAUGACGAACUCCGAUUGCGCAGGCAGCUUACUGUAGCAUAACUGACGCUGAUGCUCGAAAGUGCGGGUAUCAAACAGGAUUAGAUACCCUGGUAGUCCGCACGGUAAACGAUGGAUGCUCGCUAUUCGUCCUUUUUUGGAUGAGUGGCCAAGUGAAAACAUUAAGCAUCC